rnacentral:snRNA from 1 species
AUUGCUUCUCGGCCUUUUGGCUAAGAUCAAGUGUAGUAUCUGUUCUUAUCAGUUUAAUAUCUGAUACGUCCUCGAUGAGAGGACUUUAUAUUAAACGGAUUUUUGGGUUUGGGAGUUGGAUCCGUGUUUCUCUUCAGAUCGUAUAAAUCUUUCGCCUUUUACUAAAGAUUUCCGUGGAGAGGAACACAA